CCAGGCAGUAGCAUCGUUUCACAAUGUUUCCAUCACCAUCAUCAGUGGAUGCCUUUGCCGUCCGUAGCCUGAGAUUUCAGAUUUGCAGCAAAAAAAAAUUUAUUUUCUCAUUUAUUGGAAUGCUGUGCAGGUAUUUGUACCUUGCAGCCAUCCAUUACAAUGUCACCAAGCCGUAACAAAAGCAGGAGAGGGAAAGUACAAGGCUAUGUUCCCAAAACACACAAGUGACAUACCUUAUGUGGAGGAUGUGAUCAGGCUUGUGUUUGAUGAGGUAUUUGAAGAUAAGCUGAAGGAAGCCCUGAUUCCAAUGGACCUGGCAUCACAGUUUGAGAGACCUUCAAAGGAGGACGUGAUUGCAUGCCAUCUUUAGUGCAGGGGUCGUCGAAAGCCAAAAUUGU